rnacentral:snoRNA from 1 species
GGGCCCUCAAGGAGGGCGAUAUAAAAACACUGACUGCUUAGAUUCCUUUUUUUUCUUCCUUUUCUUCCUUUUUUUGAUUAUGGAGCAGAGAAUCGGCUUCCUGGUUCAGAUGAGAUAUAGAUGGCAACGAACUGGCUUUUAUAAUCCUCCAAAAAUAAUGAUAUUUUUAUCCU